UCCUACGGAAGGCAGCAGUGGGGAAUAUUGCACAAUGGGCGAAAGCCUGAUGCAGCAACGCCGCGUGAGUGAUGACGGUCUUCGGAUUGUAAAGCUCUGUCUUUUGGGACGAUAAUGACGGUACCAAAGGAGGAAGCCACGGCUAACUACGUGCCAGCAGCCGCGGUAAUACGUAGGUGGCAAGCGUUGUCCGGAUUUACUGGGCGUAAAGGAUGUGUAGGCGGAUACUUAAGUGAGAUGUGAAAGCCCCGGGCUCAACCUGGGGACUGCAUUUCAAACUGGGUGUCUAGAGUGCAGGAGAGGAAAGCGGAAUUCCUAGUGUAGCGGUGAAAUGCGUAGAGAUUAGGAAGAACAUCAGUGGCGAAGGCGGCUUUCUGGACUGUAACUGACGCUGAGGCAUGAAAGCGUGGGGAGCAAACAGGAUUAGAUACCCUGGUAGUCCACGCCGUUAUUCGUUAGUACUAGGUGUAGGAGGUAUCGACUCCUUCCUGUGCCGCAGUAACACAAUAAG
rnacentral:rRNA from 1 species